UACGUAGGGUGCAAGCGUUGUCCGGAAUUAUUGGGCGUAAAGAGCUCGUAGGCGGUCUGUCGCGUCGGCUGUGAAAACCCGGAGCUCAACUCCGGGCCUGCAGUCGAUACGGGCAGACUGGAGUUCGGCAGGGGAGACUGGAAUUCCUGGUGUAGCGGUGAAAUGCGCAGAUAUCAGGAGGAACACCGGUGGCGAAGGCGGGUCUCUGGGCCGAUACUGACGCUCAGGAGCGAAAGCAUGGGGAGCGAACAGG
rnacentral:rRNA from 1 species